rnacentral:rRNA from 1 species
GGCGCACUGCUCAGUAACACGUAGCUAACCUAACCUCAAGACGGAAAUAACCCCGGGAAACUGGGGUCAAUGUCCGAUAGAUGUGAAUUCCUGGAAUGGUGUCACAUCCAAACGUCAACACACCAUGUUGUGCGAACGCUUGAGGAUGGGGCUGCGGCCGAUCAGGCUGUUGGUGGGGUAAUGGCCCACCAAACCUUUGACCGGUAUGGGCCAUGAGAGUGGUAGCCCAGAGAUGGACACUGAGACAAGGGUCCAGGCCCUACGGGGCGCAGCCGGUACGAAACCUCCACAAUGCACGCAAGUGCGAUGGGGUUAUCUCGAGUGCUAUCUGAAAAAGGUAGCUUUUCCAUGGUCUAAAUAGCCGUGGGAAUAAGGGGGGGGCAAGACUGGUGUCAGCCGCCGCGGUAACACCAGCCCCCCGAGUGGUAGGGAUGUUUAUUUGGCCUAAAGCGUCCGUAGCCGGCUAAGUAAAUUUCUCGUUAAAUCCAACGUCCUAAGCGUUGGGCUGCGAGAAAGACUGCUUAGCUAGAGGGUGGGAGAGGUCAGCGGUAUUCCUGGGGUAGGGGCGAAAUCCAUUGAACCCAGGAGGACCACCAGUGGCGAAGGCUGCUGACUAGAACACGCCUGACGGUGAGGGACGAAAGCUGGGGUAGCGAAUCGGAUUAGAUACCCGAGUAGUCCCAGCCGUAAACGAUGCAGACUAGGUGUUGGGUUGGCCACGCGCCGACUCAGUGCCACAGGGAAGCCAUUAAGUCUGCCGCCUGGGAAGUACGGCCGCAAGGCUGAAACUUAAAGGAAUUGGCGGGGGAGCACCACCAGGCGUGAAGCCUGCGGUUUAAUUGGAGUCAACGCCGGGAACCUUACCGGGAGCGACAGCAGAGUGAAGGCCAGGCUAAAGGUCUUGCCAGACGAGCUGAGAGGAGGUGCAUGGCCGUCGCCAGUUCGUGCCGUGAGGUGUCCUCUUAAGUGAGGUAACGAACGAGACCCGCGCCGCAUGUUGCUAACAAGUCCUAAAGGGAUGUUGAGCACUCUUGCGGGACCGCAGCCGACAAGGCUGAGGAAGGUGCGGGCAACGGCAGGUCAGUAUGCCCCGAAUCUCCCGGGCCACACGCGGGCUGCAAUGGUAGAGACAGAGGGCUGCAACCCCGAAAGGGGAAGCCAAUCCCUAAACUCUACCUCAGUUGGGAUUGAGGGCUGCAACCC